rnacentral:rRNA from 1 species
GAUGAACGCUAGCGGCAGGCUUAAUACAUGCAAGUCGAGGGGCAGCAUGAAGUAGCAAUACUUUGAUGGCGACCGGCAAACGGGUGCGGAACACGUACACAACCUCCCUUUAAGUGGGGAAUAGCCCAGAGAAAUUUGGAUUAAUACCCCGCAACACCACGAAGUGGCAUCACUUUGUUGUUAUAGCUUCGACGCUUAAUGAUGGGUGUGCGUAUGAUUAGAUAGUUGGCGAGGUAACGGCUCACCAAGUCUACGAUCAUUAGCUGAUGUGAGAGCAUGAUCAGCCACACGGGCACUGAGACACGGGCCCGACUCCUACGGGAGGCAGCAGUAAGGAAUAUUGGUCAAUGGACGCAAGUCUGAACCAGCCAUGCCGCGUGAAGGAUUAAGGUCCUCUGGAUUGUAAACUUCUUUUAUAUGGGACGAAAAAAGGUCUUUCUAGACCCCUUGACGGUACCAUAUGAAUAAGCACCGGCUAACUCCGUGCCAGCCGCCGCAGUAACAC